GCAAAAAAAAAAAAAAGCACAAAAAAGUAGUUCACAUAUGUAUGAACCAGGAGCAAAGGCCAAACAGGCAAACAAACGAUGGCAAAUAUUUGGGGUGCCAGCACACAGGAAAUUGUUGCAUCGAGUUGGCCAUAUUAUGUAAAUCACUGCCAUUGACAGCCGCCACAACAACAACAACAACCGAAACAACAACAACAACAACAGCAACAGCAGGAGCAACAAAAUCGAAAGCAACAGAAGCCACAAUUUUCAGCAGGAAGAGCAGCAAAAUAUUGUGUGUACAAAGCCCGAAAACCACUUUGGGCCCAACUUAUUUGUGGCUAACAAAUUUGCAUGCAUUGACGCAUCAUCAUCGCAGUUGCCAAUUCAUCUGGAUACUCGUAUACGUCAAUGUGACAACACUGGAGACUUUGGCUGCGAUUGCAAAUCUUGGGCAAAUCAAUAGAAGUUGUAAAGAGCUGGGAAAAGCGUCCUCAAUGUGUCAGCUCAAAUGUCAAUUUGUUGGCCAGGAUUUCCAGGAUAUCGAUGGCACAAGUGACAAAACACAAAACUUGCUAGUUUUUGAGACUGAUUGAGGGCGGUAUUGUAGGAGUCAGCAAAGACAUUUGUAAAAAGUGAAAAAAGAUACAAGAUAAAUCCGAGUGGGUGUUAGAGAACUGGACUACCAGAUACCCGUUACACAGUUACUGAUGGGUGCAACUUGGCUACUGAUCCUGAUCAAGAUUAUAUAUACUUUUUAGGGUUGGAAACACAAGUAUACUAAUAAAAACUAUGAAAUACUACGCUAUACUUUUUAAAACA